UGCUGAUGUAGCCUAGCUCUUGGCUGGAUGUCCUCUAAGGCUCAACCUGUGCAAAUUCCCAGCUGGUAAUCUCUGAGAGCAGUGGUCCCCAACUUUCACCAACCUAGGGGAAACAAUACCAAGAAAGUAUGGAAUGCAAUCCAGGCAAGGUCACGCUUUGCUUUCAACGUCAAUCUUCCAAAUAAUAAGAAGACUCAGAGGAGCACAGCUUGUCCUUUUACUGAGACUAGUUUCCAGAUGUCAAAAUGUUUCAACAAACUAUAACACAUGAUGGGGACAGCACAUCCAGUGCUACAGUGAUGGAGCUGAGAAGGUCAUAUAUACUUAGACUGCCAGAGGAACAUAUUCCCAAAGAUCAGGGUUAAUAGCUCUCAGAAGCUCUUGACCCCAGGACAAAUUGUUUGUAUAUAUUCUGAAAAGAGAUUUCCCUUGCCCUCUUCCUGUUUUCUAAUGUUAUUUACCUCUUAAUUUACAAAAGCCACAGCCUAGUUUUAUAAUUGUGAUGGUGUGAAAAACAAGAAGAGGAGGAAAUAUGAACAAGACAUAGUAUGAUGGUAAGAAAGAAGGAAGCCAAUGAAAAUCAUUGUGACAGGGCUUGUGACCACAGGAGCGGAUGUGAUGCCUGUAACAGGGUCCUGACUGAAACCCUGUUACCUGAGAGAUUUUGGCAGCUGAAAGUGAUUACUGCCCGGUGGGGGAGGAGGCGCCCCAUGCCCACUGAGAGCCAAUGGGACUCGGCACUGAGGGAUAUGAGGAGGAAGAGGUCUGAGGAAGGGGCCUUCAGGCACCACGAGAGGAAGAGGUGCCACUAAGGACUCUCGCUAAGGAGGAUCCAGAGGGAGGAUUCCAGGCGCAAGGGUCAAUGUGGGCCAAGUGACGACAGAACCCAGGACCUGUAGCCCAUCCGUGCCACAUACCUGGAGCUCGAAGCAGCGGCGGUGAGUCAGAGCAGAACAGAGCCGCAGCACAGGGAAAAGUCGUGGCUUCAUGCUGAGACACAGAGAAGCAAUGCGGGAGUCAAAGGGGGGUGGAGGCCACCCGCCCAGCCCCUGAAGAAGCCAGGACCCAGCACCCGAACUUGAAGAAAAAGGGGAGUUGGGAUAGAAGGUGGAUAAACGCCCAGAUCCGCACCCUGGCAUGGAGCGUGAGAGGAGAAAUCAGGCGUCGCCCGUAAUUAG